CUGUCCCGGUCGUUACAGGGCUCCUUUAACUCCUUUAGAUGUGGCUUUGGGCACCGGCUCUGAUGUGUACCCUGCACACAAUCAGCCCCCACGUCACAGCAGCACCCCCUCGGUGCCUGCGCCAGCCCCACCCCCACCAGAAAAUCUGAAGAGACCAGCAGAGGUGCCUGGUGCUCACACGCAGCCAUGGCAGCCAGGAAGCUGGCCAUCCCCAUUCGUAGACUGCUCUGUAGGUCACAGCCUGGUGCCAUGGAGGCCUGGAUGGUCCAGACUCAGGGCUGUACCAGGAAGCGGCAUCAGUCACGGUGCCCAGAUGUCCCGGCUCUGCCAUGAAGGAUCCAGAGAGCACCGGGGGUGGUGGGGGCAGGAUCUACAAGACAAUGUGUCUGGGGAGCUCCAGUUAUGUGAAGGUGAUCUCACUUUUUCCUUCACACAAUUGCCUCCACAUGUCCUUGAGUUUGGUCAGACGCCAGAGACAACACAACGUAUCUCCACCCAGGAGUGGGGACAGGGCACUGGCCAAAAGACCAACUCGUGCUUCAGCCUGGAUGCCGGGACAGAUGAGCUUUUGGGGAAGUGAUGAUGAAGGUUCUAACUUCACCAAGGGGAUUCAAUCCAUGGAUGAGAUCAAAGCGCCAUUACUGGGAGGUGAUGGGAACUGAAGACAUGGCGUCUGACAGAAGGCAAUGGAUCAUGGGGAUGCAACAUGGGACCUCUGUCUGCUCCCAGCCCCUUCUCUCGGGCUCUUGCUCUCUCCUUCCUGGCUACACAAGGUGAGCAGCCUCUGCCGCAUGCUUCCACCAUCACAUUUCAGCAAAGGAUCUAGCUGACCAUGGACUGAAACCUCUGAAGUCAUGAGCUCAAAUAAAACUUCUUUUAAUUUGUUUUUCUCAGGUGCCAGCACAGAGACCUGGGCUGCAGCUGAGAGCUCUAUUCUGUUCUCAUCUCAUGUCCCUUAUCUCCAAGCGCUAGGCUUCUCUGCAAGGGCCUGUCCACUGCUCCUCUCCUGCCAGUUUCCUGUUUGCAUCCUUUGACGCCCUCAAAAGCUGGCUGGUAUCAUUUUUCCUGCUGAGUUACAGGAAUUCCUUGUCAGUUUUACAUUUUCCAAAUAUUUCCUACAAUUGGUCUCCUGGUCACAUUCCCACAACGCCCUUUGCUAAGCAGAUAUCUUUCAUUCUGGGCAGUAUCUUUCCCAAUUUAGGGUCUGUGCCUUGUGGGUUCAGCAGGAACCUAUUUCCUCACCACAAAG
rnacentral:lncRNA from 1 species